rnacentral:rRNA from 1 species
UACGUAGGGUGCAAGCGUUAAUCGGAAUUACUGGGCGUAAAGCGUGCGCAGGCGGUUUUGCAAGACCGAUGUGAAAUCCCCGGGCUUAACCUGGGAAUGGCAUUGGUGACUGCACGGCUAGAGUGUGUCAGAGGGGGGUAGAAUUCCACGUGUAGCAGUGAAAUGCGUAGAGAUGUGGAGGAAUACCGAUGGCGAAGGCAGCCCCCUGGGAUAACACUGACGCUCAUGCACGAAAGCGUGGGGAGCAAACAGG